rnacentral:sRNA from 1 species
CGUGAGUCUGAACAGUCCACACUCCAUCAUUAAAGAUGCAGGUCAGGGCCUCCCUCGCUGAGAAGUCAGGAGUGGGCUUCUCCUGGUCACCUCCCCAGUGAUGGGCUAGCUCAUACCAGCUCCGUCCCAUUAUGACUCAGUUGACGAGGAAUGAUCUCACUCAUUCUUAAAACUUUUAGAAUGUUUCUUGCUUCCAUCCUCCAAGUCAACAAACAGGCCUGAAUGCUACAAGAUGGCAUGCUCCUCUGACCUCCUCUGAGAGAGUUCAGGGCACGGGCUAAAAUCUCUCACUUCUGUCCUUUUUCCAGAAUAAGCAGGUAGAGCAUGCAGUGAGCACAGACUCCAAAAGGUCAACCUCCCUUUUCCCAGAUCAAGAUCCCUUGAGUAAAGAAGGAAUGCUCGACGGUAACUUCCUCUGUCCCUAAACCUCCUGGUUAGACCUUUCCACUAAUUUCUAUUUUAGAGUCACUGGGCCAUUUUAUUAGACUCUUGCUUAUAUUUACAUCAGCAAAGGCAGCCCUCAACGUUGACAUACCCCUGUCAGCAGGCCUCAAGGACCGUUUGCUCCAGCCACCUCAUCCUUCCCCUAGCUCAGUCUCUGAAACUCUGCACGAGGAGAAAUUGAGGGCAGCUUUUCCUUGAAGUCACCUAUGUUAUGUGUUCACUGCCUGAAGCCGAAGCUGGCAGGAAAGGCAAGCACUAUUUAUUAGCGCAACGUCUCCUAACACAUAUGCAUAACUACAAUACUACACUUGUGUGCAAACACUUCAGUAUAUCUCACAGCAGGUCACCAACCCUGAGGCCUACUGCUCUCAGCAUCUAUAUACGUAAUCCUUUACUCUGAAGGUCCUCUGCACUCUUCUUGUCCCUUAAUGAAUCACCUAAGCAGCAUGUCAUUAAAACACAAAGUAGUUCUGUUUCUGGUAGGGCAUGGCAGUCUUUGGAACCAUCUCACCCCUGUCCCCUCAAACAUUUGGCUCUGUGGAAAACAAGGCACUUCUUGGCUCUUUUCUACCACUGGCAUCACCUUGCCCACAAACCUGACAAUCACUCUUCUCUUAGACCUGUCAGGUUGGAACAUCUGAGUUCAGUCCUCUUAUGUACACGAACCCCUUCAUGAUUUUCCAUAGCCACUUUAAGUAAAAUCUAAACACCCAAGCCUCUCAAUUCUAUACCAUCUUUUACAGUGUUUCUUCUAAGAUUUAUAUUCAUGUGCUGACUGCCUUUUAACAUCUAAACUUCUAACAGAUACUCCAAACUAAAAAAAAACCUCCAUACUCCAUCAGCCCUCUUAACUCAUUCCUCAAUCUGCCCACCCAAGUACCACUAAGUCUUAACCAGAGCACAUCUGUCUAGUGUGCUGAGAGCAAAAGUCUAGAGACUCCGGUGCGGCUCUACACCUUCAAGUAUACUUGUACCAUGCCAGCCAGGGCUGCAGGAAGACUGCAGUCCAUCUCACCAUGGCAACUCUGCCCUUCAUCUCACUCUAGGGCACAGCACUCCAACUGAUCUGGACAACACUUCGCCAUUUCUUCUGUUAGGAGGAUGUUGAAUAAAAAGCCACAAAACCAGGUUGUAGCAAUUGAUGAAAGCGGCUAUAAGUGAAGUUGGAUUCGCCUACUCGCCCCAGCCAUGCUGCCUCUCAGCUUCUCCUGGACUCCUCCUCACCUGCUUCCCCACAGGAACCCUGCACCACAGGGCUGAUGGCACCUCGUAUGGGAGAGGAGAUGGCACUGUCAUACUUAAGGCUGUCUUCUGUGUUUGCAAAAUGUAUUCAAGUGAAACGGGAAUGAUACUCCUCUACACUGGAGGACUCACACUUGCAUUCAUACUGCUCCCUGCGACAGACAAGCACAGCAGACACUUCUGUCCACCAACAGCUUAGCAUGAGACGACGAUCCAUUUCUUGAGAAGCACGCACACAGAUAACACAGUUUAAACAAAUUGCUCCACCCUGUGCUGCUUGACCCCGGGAAGAUCCAUCUCUCUCCUACAGAUUACUGUUACAUCUUUUAAAUGGCUCAGAGCCACAGCUUUCAACGUGUGUCCUGAGGACCCCCAGGGUUCAUGAAGUAAAAAUGUUGUCAUGAUA